rnacentral:rRNA from 1 species
GCCCAGACUCCUACGGGAGGCAGCAGUGAGGAAUAUUGGUCAAUGGCCGAGAGGCUGAACCAGCCAAGUCGCGUGAGGGAUGACGGCCCUACGGGUUGUAAACCUCUUUUGCCGGGGAGCAAAGAGCGGGACGCGUCCCGCCUCGAGAGUACCCGGAGAAAAAGCAUCGGCUAACUCCGUGCCAGCAGCCGCGGUAAUCCGGAGGAUGCGAGCGUUAUCCGGAUUUAUUGGGUUUAAAGGGUGCGUAGGCGGAAUAUCAAGUCAGCGGUAAAAAUUCGGGGCUCAACCCCGUCGUGCCGUUGAAACUGAUGUUCUUGAGUGGGCGAGAAGUGUGCGGAAUGCGUGGUGUAGCGGUGAAAUGCAUAGAUAUCACGCAGAACUCCGAUUGCGAAGGCAGCAUACCGGCGCCCAACUGACGCUGAAGCACGAAAGCGUGGGUAUCGAACAGGAUUAGAUACCCUUGUAU